CGUAGCGCCGUUGCCACAUCCUCCUCGUCGACUGUUCAGCAAGGAUGGAUGUAACAGACGCUUUUCUCCAGUCGACUCGCUCAUUCGUGCAUAUUUAUGGUAUGCAUAUGAUACACGAAACAACGGUAGUCACGCACACAUUUCUGUCAGAAUUCAUUGGCCCGGUGAUGCGUCACAGCGGAGCGUACCUGCGCGAAUAUAAAUAGAGACAAAAGCUAAUACCCAGAGAGGAGGAAAAAAUAUUCAAUUUCUUUAAGGAGUUAUAUUUUUCGUGUAACUUUCUCAUCGAUGCGCGCUGAUCGAUUGUUCACGUAACCUUGGACUCGCAGAGUGUUUUCGUCUCAAAUCCCAAUAUUGUUUUUGUCCUUCUUCGGCAGACCGUUACCGAGAUAUUGGAAACAUUGAGAGUAGUGCGGGAACACAAGAGCGGAAGAAAACGAAAUUCAUCCGCAGUAAAUUCCUGAAAUUAUUAGCGCGCUAUCGAGGUAUUUACACCGAAUUCGCGGAAUUUCGAGCUUUGUAAAGUAAAAGUCGUCAAUCUUUCGACCAGAUUUGUUCGCUCCGAAAAAAUCUGCGCUGAUAAAUUGACUCUCGAGAUAACCCAAUCUCCAAAUGACUCGCUUCAAUAGAAAUGCUUUUGUAAAUAAUUCAUUCGCGCACGUACUUAUUUAUCGGUGCGUUUGUGAUGAAAAUACGUUUCGAGGGAACGGCGUUCGAAAUGUGGCAUUCGCGCUGCUUUGUUUGGUAAACUUGACGAUUCGAAAGUGCGCUUCACCGCGAAUCCCAUAUACACGGUACGGACGGCUUUGAUAUUCCGUGCUCAGCCGUCAUCUUCAUAUUUUCGUUGAAUUGAAACUUGCUAAUUUCGUUAUCGCAUUAGAAGUUGCUUGCCGUUAGCGUCGGCUGAAACUUUGCGUACUCAGAAAUUGAACCCGAUCCGAGUAUCGAGAAUCUACUGGCUUUGAACAACUCACCGGAAGCUAAGAUUGACAGGUCAAUUUUCAACGGCAAGGUUCAAGGACUAAAAUACGUAUGUAUUCUUGAAAAUCCACGAAAUACAACGAUCGAUUUUUAUUUUUGCGGAAUCUUGGAUAUAACUAAUGAAAAAAAUUCAACAACUUUUCAUGCGUGCACGACUUCCGUGCGCCGGAGUAAUAAUAUUCAGUAAUUAAUUUGUUGGUAAACUACAUGGUGACUGCGUCCAAAUUUUGCAAGUCUAUCCAGUAAAUAUUCACUUUUGUCUACAAAAAAUAUCAUCGCGUGACCUUGGACAGCGAAUAUUCACCCAUCUAUCUUAAAUCGAUAAUAAAAACGAAAAUUGCAAUUUCAUUCGAGCUGUUUCCACCUAGUUUUUUGUCCCAUGCUCUCUAAAUUCGUAGACAAAAAAAAAGAAAAAAAAACAAUAAAACCGAGUAUUUUCCGUAAUUUGGAUCAGCCUCCCGGGUAAUCUAAAAUUGCGUGAAUUUACAGUUUAUUUUUCAA